AAAAUUAACCAGGCAUGGUGGCAUGUGCCUGUAGUCCCAGCUACUUGUGAGGCUGAGACUGGAGGAUCGUUGAGCCCAAGAGGCAGAGGUUGCAGUGAACUGUGAUUGUGCCACUGUACAACAGUGCCAGCCUGGGCAACAGAGUGAGACCCUGUCUUUAAAAAAAAAUGAAAACAAAAACAAAAAAAAACAAAUAAAAAGUUAUAAACAAAGAGGAGUUAUGCUCAGACUAUUUCUCCAUGAGAAAUUACAAUUCCUGUGCAA
rnacentral:lncRNA from 1 species